rnacentral:rRNA from 1 species
GACGAACGCUGGCGGCGUGCUUAACACAUGCAAGUCGAACGGAAAGGCCCUGCUUUUGUGGGGUGCUCGAGUGGCGAACGGGUGAGUAACACGUGAGUAACCUGCCCUUGUCUUUGGGAUAACUUCAGGAAACUGGGGCUAAUACCGGAUAGGAGCUCCUGCUGCAUGGGGGGGGUUGGAAAGUUUCGGCGGUUGGGGCUGGACUCGCGGCUUAUCAGCUUGUUGGUGGGGUAGUGGCUUACAAAGGCUUUGACGGGUAGCCGGCCUGAGAGGGUGACCGGCGACCUUGGGACUGCGGUACGGCCCAGACUCCUACGGGCGGCAGCGGUCGGGAAUCUUGCGCAAUGGGCGGAAGCCUGAUGCAGCAACGCCGCGUGCGGGAUGCCGGCCUUCGGGUUGUAAACCGCUUUCGCCUGUGACGAAGCGUGCGUGACGGUAAUGGGUAAAGAAGCACCGGCUAACUACGUG